GACGAACGCUGGCGGCGUGCCUAAUACAUGCAAGUCGAGCGGAUCUUCACUAGCUUGCUUUUGAAGAUCAGCGGCGGACGGGUGAGUAACACGUGGGCAACCUGCCUGUAAGACUGGGAUAACUUCGGGAAACCGGAGCUAAUACCGGAUAAUCCUUUUCCUCUCAUGGGGAAAAGCUGAAAGACGGUUUCGGCUGUCACUUACAGAUGGGCCCGCGGCGCAUUAGCUAGUUGGUGAGGUAACGGCUCACCAAGGCGACGAUGCGUAGCCGACCUGAGAGGGUGAUCGGCCACACUGGGACUGAGACACGGCCCAGACUCCUACGGGAGGCAGCAGUAGGGAAUCUUCCGCAAUGGACGAAAGUCUGACGGAGCAACGCCGCGUGAGCGAUGAAGGCCUUCGGGUCGUAAAGCUCUGUUGUCAGGGAAGAACAAGUACCGGAGUAACUGCCGGUACCUUGACGGUACCUGACCAGAAAGCCACGGCUAACUACGUGCCAGCAGCCGCGGUAACAC
rnacentral:rRNA from 1 species